rnacentral:rRNA from 1 species
UACGUAGGGGGCAAGCGUUGUCCGGAAUCAUUGGGCGUAAAGAGCUCGUAGGCGGCCUGUCGCGUCGGUUGUGAAAGCCCGGGGCUUAACCCCGGGUCUGCAGUCGAUACGGGCAGGCUAGAGUUCGGUAGGGGAGAUCGGAAUUCCUGGUGUAGCGGUGAAAUGCGCAGAUAUCGGGAGGAACACCGGUGGCGAAGGCGGUUCUCUGGGCCUGACCUGACGCUGAGGAGCGAAAGCGUGGGGAGCGAACAGG